rnacentral:rRNA from 1 species
UACAGAGGGUGCAAGCGUUAAUCGGAAUUACUGGGCGUAAAGCGCGCGUAGGCGGCUGUCUAAGUCGGGUGUGAAAGCCCCGGGCUCAACCUGGGAACUGCAUUCGAUACUGGACGGCUAGAGUAUGAGAGAGGGAGGUAGAAUUCCACGUGUAGCGGUGAAAUGCGCAGAUAUCAGGAGGAACACCGAUGGCGAAGGCAGGUCUCUGGGCAUUAACUGGCGCUGAGGAGCGAAAGCAUGGGGAGCGAACAGG